UUCUGUAUUUAGCAAUCUAUUGAAAAGUGAUUUUUUACUAUUUGGUUAUUUAAUAGGUAUCCUGAACCCUCACGAAUCACCAAGCAUUUUUCAAUUCAAAUUACAUAAAUAUAUUUACUCCCAUGUUCCACUGUCAAGAAAUUAAAUUUUCGCGAGCGCGUUUUUAAUAAGUAGCUCUUGGCGAAAUGCUUGUAUUUGGAAAAUCUACUGAUACUUACUACUCCUGAAUAUUAUUUCAAGUACUAUCUAGAUACCAAUUGUUUUAUCCCACGCGUUUCUACUUUUCGAAAGCCACCGGACGCCAAAAUAUUUAACUACCUAGCUACUUAACGUCAUUUUGAAGAGUAUCAUACAAUCAAAUAACGCCAA